rnacentral:rRNA from 1 species
CCAUGCCGUAAAAAAUCAACUCACACCCAUAGCGCCUGGGAAUUACGAGCUUCAGCUUAAAACCCAAAGGACUUGACGGUGUCCCACCCAACUAGAGGAGCCUGUCCUGUAAUCGAUGAUCCACGUUUCACCUUACCAUUUUUUGCUUUCUCAGCCUGUAUACCUCCGUCGCAAGCUUACCAUAUGAACGAAUCAAAGUAGGUUUAAGGACUUAACGCCAAUACGUCAGGUCAAGGUGCAGCUUAUAAAAUGGGUAGAGAUGGGCUACAAUUUCUAAACUAGAACAAACGAAAAACUACAUGAAACAUAGUCAUGAAGGAGGAUUUAGCAGUAAAUAAGAAAUAGAGAGUCUUAUUGAACUUGGCCCUGGGAUGUGUACACACCGCCCGUCACCCUC